AGAGAAUCAUUGCUUUAGAGCUAGGAGGAAACAAAGAAAGAAACUUUAUUAAUUUCCUAUGUGCCAGGCACUGUCAUAGGUGCUCUACAGCAACUCAGUGAAUCUUGAUGUGAACCCAAGCCUACAGAAAUCUAUGCCCGCCAUCCUUUGUGCCUCAAAGAAUCUGAUUCCCUUUGCCUGAGACCCAAACAAGGACCCAGGGUUUCAGGAUGACUCGAGCUGCUUCUUUCUCUGGGCUCUGGGUGAAUCCAAGGCCAGCGUUCUAUUGCCUCAUCUCAUGUACAGGAACAGAUGAAUGGCCCUACACAAUGCCUGCCCUUAUUCAGGCCACCGCUCUCUCAGCGCUCGCUCAUGCAAUCCCCUGAGCUCAUUCCGGCCUCCUUUGUGAGCCGCUGUAUUGUCAGCGGCUACCAAGAAUAUGACAUCGACAUAGGAAGUCGGAACAGAUGAAGAGGGCAAGCCCAGGAGCCAGCGACACAGGCCGGCGGCCCCUUGUCUUGUUCCUGCACACAGCGGCCACUCAGGGAGUGCGGGCUGACUCAGAGUGAGUAAUGGAGUCAACACUGAGCGUCAUGCAGCAAACAGCUGGGCCCCACUCCACAGACACCCGCGCACCUUGACAGAGUCUCUGGGCUGAGGCAUGAAGCAAAGAGCAGAUUUGGGCUCUCCAUGCACCCCUGUCUUUCAGAGGACCAGAGAUCUAGGGUUAACAGGGACCUGGAAGACUGUCUAGUCCAAUGCCCUUAUUCUAUAAAUGGGGAACCUGAGGCCCAGGCAGGGUAAGGCACCUGUCUACAAGUCACCCAGUUGGUCUUAGGGGAAGGAUUGGAACCCAACUCCUCUGACUCCAGAGGACUCCUCCCCACCACCCCUCUGUAGAAUAUAAACUUCCUGAAGGGCAUUGUACUAGGUGACCUCUAAGAAGCCUUGAUAGGGAAGAGGGAGCGGAGCCAAGAUGGUGCCAACAGCGAUCUAAGGCCCAUGUUUCAGUAUGUUUCAGAGCACUGGAGUGAAAACUAAGUGAAGACCCACUACCAACAUAUACACACAGAUCUCAGGCUGCAAGGCUACUGCUGAGGUUCAUUUCAAGCCAUAGUCUUCCAGAAGAGGGCUCCCAAGAAUGAUGUUACCCUCAGCAUUCCUCGGGGGUGCCAUGGACCCUGGCCACUUCCAGAGUGAAUUGUUUCUAUGCCCUCGAAUAAUAAUAAUGUACAUUGAGGUUCAGUAAAUUAGCAUGAAUAUUAUCCACCCUGGGGAUGAGCUUCCACUUCGAAGACCAUGGAAAAAAAUUUGGUCCGGAUAUGAAGGCUCAGGACUCGGUUUUCUCAUCAGGAAAAUGAGGGAAUUCUGCCCAGGGACCCAUCAGGUCACUCCCAGCUCUGACAUUCUAUGAUCUAGAAUAGCUUCCCACUGGAUCGCUGUGUUCUUCAAGGGCCUGCCCAGCUCAAACAUUUGGCGAUUCUGUCAUGAUGAGAGAAUAAGCAAGUGAAGAGAACAGUUACUGUAAAGAGCCCAAUAUUUACAACUCCAGCCUGCUGAAGAACUUUUGGACUGCUCUCAAGGAAUCAAUGCUUCCUGAUUGCCUGAUCUUGGAUUCCUUUGCCAGCCUGGCUUGUUAUUCCCUGUUCCACUCCAAAAUGGCAGCCUCGACUAGAUGGAAGAGCAAUGGAUGUGUCAUCAGAGGAUCUGGGUUCAAGCGCUGACUUUUUUGCUUGCUUCCCAUAAGCAAGUUAACAGCUUCCUUGCUUCCUUGGCAACUUGCUUGAGGAAUUUAUUUUUAAAAAUGGGGAAGGGAGCAUGUUGACUGCGAUGAUGAAAGUUGUGAUCCCAAGAAAAACUAAACCAUAGACCCAGAGGACCUAGACCAUCACACAGGACAAUGACUGAUGAGUUUAAUUAUACUCUGAACCUGGGUCAUAAAGAAAAGAGGCUUGUUAUGGGAUCAUACUGAGAGUCUGCCCAGUGACAGCAUGUAUUUGUGUGUGUGUGUGUGUGUGUGUGUGUGUGUGCAUGCACCACACACAUGUGUGUGAGAGAAAGAACUGGUAUAAAAGAUGCCCUCACAUGAACAAACAAUGCUCAAGGACUAGACAAGGAUAAAGCACUUCUAUUCUAGCAGGGAGAGAUGAUGCGCAGGUCUCUGUGAGGGCACCCAGCAUCUGAAAUUGGAGAGAGUCUUGGAAGUGGCUUUGCUAUAUCUUGAUGAUCUCAAGUGAAGCAUGGAAGGGGAAGAGAAGAGGAACACACAGGAUAGGAUGGCAGAGAAAAAGGAAGGGUCGGGAAAAUCAACUCAUGUAAUCAGGAUGUACAAGGAUACAUCUAUACAAAGAAGUGCUAGAGGGAGCGGUGGUCACUCAAAGCUCACUCUUACCUGAACUGGUCAAAGGAGGGAAGAACACACACACACACACACACACACACACACACACACACACACAGAGCACAGAGUUGGGCACAAAAAUACAUUUCAUUCAACAGGAAAAUAGGAAGAAAAGGUGAGAAGGGAGAAAGAGGAAUCAGAGGAAGGUAAGGAUUAUUCUUAAGCAAAAUAAACUCAAAGCAAAGAUGUAUGAAAAUAUUUAUGAUCUUUUUGAGGCAACAAAGAAUGAGAAUCUAAGGUGGGGGGCACUGUCAAUUGGAUAAUGGUUGAACAAGUUAUGUUAUGUAAAUGUGAUGGAAUAUUAUUGUGCUGUAAGAAAUGA